ensembl:lncRNA
UCAGCUGGUGUGUCUCCCUGGCUGGUCUGCAGGGAAAGGGAACGUCUCCUCUGGUAUUCUCUCCCUCCCUCCUCCCUAAUGAGAGACAGAGCUGGAAAGGUCAUGUUUGUCCAUAAAGCAGCGAGGACGAGUGAUGAGUUUAUGAUGUUGGUGCAGAUAAUUGACAACAGCUCAUAAAGAUGAUGAGAGCGAUAAGAGAGCGGUAACGCCCCGUUCCCACAGCAAAACACAUUACCCUGCAUUCUGACUGCUCCGCUCUUAACCCCAUGGUGACCAGAGGAUCAACUCUACUGCUCUUUGUUCUUCUGUUCGGCGGUCUGUCCUGGACCGUGUGUGUGUGUGUGUGUGUGUGUGUGUGUGUGUGUGUGUCCGUGUGUGUGUGUCUGUGUGUGUGUGUGUGUUUGUGUGUGUUACCCCUUGGUGACCUUAGGAUCAUGGAAGUGCGCAAGGCGGGCCGGGCAGUCCUCAUGUUCAUGGGUCUCAUCUGCUUUAUCGCUGCCUUCACCCUUAACACCCUGGCCGGCCAGGGAUCACGGAGUGGUAUUUUUAAGCAGAGUACGGAGGACGUGACCCUGAAGUACAGGACCCCACUGUCUCCAGCCACCUGGUCUCUGUUCGUGUGGGACUUCAUCUACGUCUGGUUCUUCUUCAUGUUCCUCUACUUCCUGGCCGGCCUCUGCAGAAGGGGUGUGUAUGAGUGGAUGUACACCACUCCUGCUGUGCUGCCCUAUGGGUUCCACGCCAUGAUGGUCCUCAACAUGAGCCUGAACAUCACCUGGCUCUUCCUCUACCACCAAGAGAUGCUGCUGCCAUCCUUCAUCAUCUCAGCUCUGAUGUCGUUAACAGACUACCUGCUGCUGUUCUUCUCCUGCCAGGGCCUCAAGGUGUACGGGGCGUGGCUCCAAAAGCACAGCCCGGCUGACCUGUGGUUCCUCCGAGUCCUGGUGCAGAACGGGGUAGCGGUGUACGCAGCGUGGGGGAGCAUCUCCACCCUGCUGUGCCUGUCCGUCUACCUGGAGAACCGGACCGCCACGUCCAAGUGUGACUGCGCCAUGGUCUCCCUCGUGGUGCUGCUCAUGGAGCUGCUAGUAUGGUUCUUGUUGGAGAACUUCUACCUGGACGAGCAUGUGCGCUACGUCCUGACCGUUUACCCUGUGACCAUCCUCUGGCUGGCGGGCAGUGUCACUCAGUCGGCACUCCCCGGGAAUUACAUCUACGACUUCUCCGUGGUGAUCCUGGGCACAGCGUGCGUCAUGUUUGUAGUGCGCCUGGCCCUGGUGUUGUGGCGACACCGGACAAAGCCUCUCUACAGCGACCCCUUCACGGUCCCAUCGCCGGUGGAGAUAGCCCUGACCCAGAGGGGGGUCUUUCACUAACGUCCUUAACGUACCCCUGAGAAGUAGCGGGUGUUUGUGGCGGAGUGAGACUGUUUUUGUAGAGGAGUUGAGAGUUCGUCUGUAGCGGGGAUGAGCGUGUGUUUGGAGCCGAGUGAGAGUUUGUUUGAAAUCGAGGUGAGAUUGUGUUUGUAGCGAAGUUGAGAGUGUGUUUGUAGCGGUGGUGAGCGUGUAUGUAGAGGAAGUGAGAGUGUGUUUGUAGCAGAUUGAGAGUGUGUUUGUAGCGGUGGUGAGCGUGUAUGUAGAGGAAGUGAGAGUGUUUGUAGCGGAAUCAUUUUAUAUUGUUCCGUUCGGUCCGCUGAUGAUUGUGCAUUCUUGUGUAUUCUUUAGUAAAAAUCACCUGUUAUAUGCUGCAUUUCCACUGUAUUUGAGCGGUCAUUUGAGGAGAGACAUAUCAGUUCCACAGUGAAUGAACAGCUGUCUGUAUGUAAAUCAUGUCGGCUUCAAUAAACAACAUUCAAAUCUCAAUCCAAAAUAGUCUUCCUCCCAUAUACCACACACACACACACACACACACACACACACACACACACACACACACACACACACACACACAC